rnacentral:rRNA from 1 species
AUACGGAGGGUGCAAGCGUUACUCGGAAUCACUGGGCGUAAAGCGCGCGCAGGCGGGCUGAUAAGUUGGAUGUGAAAGCCUACGGCUCAACCGUAGAACUGCAUCCAAAACUGUCAGUCUAGAGUCUGGGAGGGGAAGAUGGAAUUAGUUGUGUAGGGGUAAAAUCCGUAGAGGUAACUAGGAAUACCAAAAGCGAAGGCAAUCUUCUGGAACACUACUGACGCUGAGGCGCGAAAGCGUGGGGAGCAAACAGGAUUAGAAACCCUAGUAGUCC